rnacentral:lncRNA from 12 species
UAUUCUCAAAUCAUACUAAAAUAUCUUUUGUCCUUUUAUGUCUUGCAAUGGAAUAGAAUUGAUUUUGAGUAUUUCCCCUGAUAUUCUUGUGCAACAAAUACCUCAAAGAAAACAAGCCUCAAAGAGAAGCCUGAAAAUAGUAUGUUUUUACAAUGUUGUAAAGUGUAUUUACUCAAACAAUUCCAAGAAAUGUAUUUGUAAAGAAAAUGUGUACUGGAAAGAGACCUCAGGGGAAUAAUACCAUCACUUGUCCAGAGAUCCGGGGCACUGGAUUGUAGGGUGGAGA